rnacentral:rRNA from 1 species
UAAUAAUUUCAUCUCUUGGUUCUUAGGUUUCUGCGAUGCAGAAUGUAGCUUUAUUUGUAAUCCUGUAGCGAGAGUAAAUAAACAGGGUACUAUUACUAGUUAUAGAGUUUUUUAUAGGAUUCAAAUAGGUUUGAAUAUAAUUGAUAGACCGAUUUUAGAAUUUAUAAAAAAAAACCUAAAUAACUUAGGUAAAAUUUAUGAUUAUCCUCAUAAAAAUGAGAGUACUUUAUGUUUUGUAGCAUUAGAAGAUAUUAAAUAUUUAAUUGUAAAUGUUUUUUCAAAUUAUCCUUUAUUAACAAGCUAUCAACAAAAUAGAUUGGCUAAGUUAAAAAAAGGAAUAUUAAAUAAUAUAAGUGGAGUUAAAACAAUAGAAGACUUUAAUGCUAUAUUUGAUAAUUUAGGAAUACAAAAAGUCAAUAUAGAAUCAUUGUCUAAAUCUUAUUUAGAUCUCUGGUUAAUAGGGUUCUUAAAUGGUGAAGUUUCAUUUACCACAUUUAAGAACAGGGGUAUAAUUAAACCUAAAGUAAGUUUAGAACAUACUGAUAAAAAUGCUUUAAUUUUAUUUAAAAAUAAUUUGGAUUUAGGUCCAAGUGUUUUAGAAUUAAAAAAAAGAGAAAAUAGGAAAAUAACUUAUAGAAUAGAUUUAACUAGUGCUAAAGAUUUAAAUAAAAUUUGUAUUUUUAUAAAUACAGCAGAUAGUUUAAUUGGAAAUAAAUUAAACCAAUAUCAAAAUUGGAAAGAUAAUUUUAAUUUAUAGAUUAUACUAUUUAUAAAUUGCAAUUUAGUGCUUGAGCCGUAUGCGAUGAAAGUCGCAUGUACGGUUCUUAGAGGGGGAAAGUCUGAGAAGACCUACCUAUCUCAACUAGAUACCCAGUUACCUCUCACCGUCAACGAUGAAUGGUAGUUAUUAGUUUAAUAUAAAUUAGUAACGAUGUUAACGCGAUAACCAUUCCGCCUUGAGAGUACGGUUGCAAAACUGAAACCAAAAAAAUUAGUCGGUCUCGGAGCAAACGAAGUGAAGCAUGUUAUUUAAUACGAAAGUACGCGUAAAAUCUUACCAGUUCUUGCAUAUCCAAUCCCUCUUUUUAGGUUGUAAUAGUAUUUACUUACUGUUUUUUAUUAUUCUAAUAAUAACCCAGGGGCAAAUAUUAUUAAAGAUUAAAAAAACUGGAUUGAGUAAUUUCUAUUUUAAAAUUUUAAUUUUAUUAGAAAUUCGUUUACAGGUGUUGCAUGGCUGUCGUCAGUCCGUAUUGUGAAAAGUGAGGUUAACUCCACUAACGGACGAAAUCCCUUUUGUUAAUUUAUACUUAACUAUUGAUGAUUAUUAAAUAUUUUCAUUUGGGGCUAAGACAAGUCGUUAUGGCCCUCAUGAACUGGGCUCUGCAAAAACUUUUACAAUGUGACGCAAAACUUAGCUUCUGCUAAUUGUUAGUUAGAGCUAAAAGGUUUAGCUAAUCAAUAAAAAAAGUUAUUUUUAUUAUUUUUAUAAACGGAUUGUUGCCUGGAAUUCGGCAACAUGAAGAAGGAAUUUCGAGUAAUCGUUGAUUAGUAUUGCAACGGUGAAGAUUGAAUCCGUGAUGAACUAACUGUCUGUCGCUGGGGAGGAGUUCGGAUUGGGGGAAAUUGCCUUUAAUAAAUACGAAGAACAAAAGUAUACUCUAUAUUAAAUUUAUAUUUUUAAUAUAAUUUUAAUAGGUAAUUAAAUUUUCAAUUUUAAACAUAAAUUAAUUAUUUUUAAUUAAGUGUAGUUAUUCUUAUUUGUUACUAAUGUAACUUUAUAUAGUGAUUUAACUAUUUUGUUGAGAUUUAUUAAUAUCGAUUAACCCUUCUGAGUAACAUCUCAAAAGUCAUAGCAAGGUAGCUGUACUGGAAAGUGCUGCUGGAAAAU